rnacentral:rRNA from 1 species
AUGAACGCUAGCUACAGGCUUAACACAUGCAAGUCGCGGGGCAGCAUGGUCUUAGCUUGCUAAGGCCGAUGGCGACCGGCGCACGGGUGAGUAACACGUAUCCAACCUGCCGUCUACUCUUGGACAGCCUUCUGAAAGGAAGAUUAAUACAAGAUGGCAUCAUGAGUCCGCAUGUUCACAUGAUUAAAGGUAUUCCGGUAGACGAUGGGGAUGCGUUCCAUUAGAUAGUAGGCGGGGUAACGGCCCACCUAGUCUUCGAUGGAUAGGGGUUCUGAGAGGAAGGUCCCCCACAUUGGAACUGAGACACGGUCCAAACUCCUACGGGAGGCAGCAGUGGGGAAUAUUGGUCAAUGGGCGCAGGCCUGAACCAGCCAAGUAGCGUGAAGGAUGACUGCCAUAUGGGUUGUAAACUUCUUUUAUAAAGGAAUAAAGUCGGGUAUGUAUACCCGUUUGCAUGUAGUUUAUGAAUAAGGAUCGGCUAACUCCGUG